rnacentral:rRNA from 1 species
UACGAAGGGGGCUAGCGUUGCUCGGAAUCACUGGGCGUAAAGCGCACGUAGGCGGAUUUCUAAGUCAGGGGUGAAAUCCUGGAGCUCAACUCCAGAACUGCCUUUGAUACUGGGGAUCUCGAGUCCGGAAGAGGUGAGUGGAACUGCGAGUGUAGAGGUGAAAUUCGUAGAUAUUAGGAAGAACACCAGUGGCGAAGGGCGGCUCACUGGCCCGGUACUGACGCUGAGGCGCGAAAGCGUCGGGGAGCAAACAGG